GAUGAACGCUAGCGGCAGGCCUAAUACAUGCAAGUCGAACGGUGUCUUCGGACAUAGUGGCGCACGGGUGCGUAACACGUAUGCAACCUACCUUACAUUGGGGGAUAGCCUUUCGAAAGGGAGAUUAAUACCGCAUAAGACAGUAGCUGGGCAUCCAGCAGCUGUUAAAGAUUUAUCGAUGUAAGCUGGGCAUGCGUCCAAUUAGCUAGUUGGUGAGGUAACGGCUCACCAAGGCAAUGAUUGGUAGGGGAACUGAGAGGUCAAUCCCCCACACGGGCACUCGGAUACGGGCCAGACGCCAGCGGGGGGCAGCAGUAGGGAAUAUUGGGCAAUAGACGCAAGUCUGACCCAGCCAUGCCGCGUGCAGGAUGAAGGCGUUAUGCGUUGUAAACUGCUUUUAUACAGGAAGAAACGACUCUUGCGAGAGGCAUUGACGGUACUGUAUGAAUAAGCACCGGCUAACUCCGUGCCAGCCGCCGCCGUAAUAC
rnacentral:rRNA from 1 species